AUUGAACGCUGGCGGCAUGCCUUACACAUGCAAGUCGAACGGUAACGGGCCUUCGGGUGCCGACGAGUGGCGAACGGGUGAGUAAUGCAUCGGAACGUACCUUUCAGUGGGGGAUAACGUAGCGAAAGUUACGCUAAUACCGCAUAUUCUGUGAGCAGGAAAGCAGGGGAUCGCAAGACCUUGCGCUGAUUGAGCGGCCGAUGUCAGAUUAGCUAGUUGGUGAGGUAAAGGCUCACCAAGGCGACGAUCUGUAGCGGGUCUGAGAGGAUGAUCGCCACACUGGAACUGAGACACGGUCCAGACUCCUACGGGAGGCAGCAGUGGGGAAUUUUGGACAAUGGGGGCAACCCUGAUCCAGCCAUGCCGCGU
rnacentral:rRNA from 1 species